CCAUGGAAGGCAACACACGGAAGUGCCCAAAGUAACUCGGCCUUUCUCCUUGCCUUCUCUUGCAGGUAAAUGAUGUGGAACACAAUGAGAUGCUGUCCCACGGAAGCGUCUUGCAGGGAGACACGGCCAGCGUGCCCACCUUGCCACCUCUGCCAGAGCAGGCAGUGGCCCAGGCAGCCGCACCACAGCACGUGCCUGCAGCUGACACACCAACAUCUGCCAGCGGCAUCCGCGAGCUGCCUGAUCUGCCAGCAGCAGCCUCUGCCUCCAGCGGCAGAGGAAGGGAAAAGGCCUUUGUGCCUGAAGCCCCGGGCCAUCAGGAGCUUUGCACAACUGCUCUGGACGGCCUUGGCAAACAGGACGAAGCAGCAGGAUCGGGCAAACAGAAAAGUGCUCCACCAAGCCCAGCCGUCAGUGGUGCAGCAGUGGAGAACACUGUGCAGUCCCCCCUGCCACAGGUCCAGACAGAAACUGUGUCUGAUGCAGUCAGACAGCAGGACCUGACACAAGCUCAGCAAGCAGCGGGAGCAGCAGAAGCAGACGAGGCCCAGGAGGCCACAGAAGGAGUGCGCGUCACUCCUCCAUCAGGGCCUGAUCCCGAAGAGCUUGCAGCAGCAAUCGCUGCCCACAGAGAAGCUGUGCCCGCUUUCGCAGGCAGGGGCUACGCGGCAGGGCACCAGGAAGGGUCUUGGGCCGAUCGGCACUCAGCAGUCCUGAAGCCGUGCAUCCAGUGCCAAGUGAUGGGCGCUAGGCUGUGGCUGCACCAUGAGUCUCGAAGGUCAUGUCGAAAGAUCCUGGCACAGAACACAAAGCUUCUGACAGACAUGGCUAAAAGUUGUGCGGCCUGUACCGGGCAAAGCCUGGACGACUACUGGGAAAUAACUAAGCAGAUGAAGAAGACAAGGAAGCAGAAAGCAGGGCAGAAACGCCCGUGUGUUCCACAGCAUGAGCCACGGGACACGGCAGAGGAGGAUGAGCUGGGAGAAGGUGAUGACGAAGAGCCAAUAAUCCAAAGCCACUGGGUCAACCCCAGGACCGCAGCCUUCCGCCGGGACCCGCAGGCUUCUCCUCAGCAAACGCCCGGCUCUUCCAGCAUCACCGACACAGAGGUUUCGGGAGAGUCAGAUGGCCAGGCACAGAGCACAGCUCUUCUUGCGUCAAGGCAGGAAGAUGCCAAGGCUGGAGCUGAGACGCAUGAUGGCCAUGGGAUGCCAGCAUCCACGCCAACAGUGGAAGAAGAGAAUGCUCCAGCUUCAUCUCUCCUGAGCGAACAGAGCACAGCUGCGAGGGAUGAGAGCCAGAGGCCUUGUCUGCACGACCCAACAGCCUGUGCCAUUUCUCUGCCGGACACAGCCCAGGCCAUGACAGUGAACAAGCUGGAAGACAACGAGACACUGCCCGGCAAUGGGGUCCCGCAGGAAGACACGGCCAGCAUGCCCACCUUGCCACCUCUGCCAGAGCAGGCAGUGGCCCAGGCAGCCGCACCACAGCACGUGCCCGCAGCUGACACACCAACAUCUGCCAGCGGCACCCGCGAGCUGCCUGAUCUGCCAGCAGCAGCCUCUGCCUCCAGCGGCAGAGGAAGGGAAAAGGCCUUUGUGCCUGAAGCCCCCGGCCAACAAGAAUCUCUCCCGGCUGCUGGCGGGAGUCGCGGUGAGCGCCGGCCACGGCGCAAUCUGCUCAGGAGGGCGCUUGGGCGUCUGUUCAAGGUUUGCUGCUGCUGCUGCAUCACAAGACAGGAAGAGUAGCGGUGUUGGGCCACCAGUAUCAGGCGACUUCUCAGAGCUGGUCGCUGGCCCUCAAGGAACUGUGCAGCACCCUGAGCCGUCAUCACAAGACAUAGCAGGACAGCACACAGUAUCACGGUGAUGUGCCAGAAGAGACAUUGGUCGCUUCACUGGGCAAGAGUCCCAUUCAGG
rnacentral:lncRNA from 1 species